UACGGAGGGUGCAAGCGUUAUCCGGAUUCACUGGGUUUAAAGGGUGCGUAGGAGGGCAGGUAAGUCAGUGGUGAAAUCCCCGAGCUUAACUUGGGAACUGCCGUUGAUACUAUCUGUCUUGAAUACCGUGGAGGUGAGCGGAAUAUGUCAUGUAGCGGUGAAAUGCUUAGAUAUGACAUAGAACACCAAUUGCGAAGGCAGCUCGCUACACGAAUAUUGACUCUGAGGCACGAAAGCGUGGGGAGCAAACAGG
rnacentral:rRNA from 1 species